rnacentral:RNase_P_RNA from 1 species
GAGGAAAGUCCGGGCUCCAUAGGGCAGGGUGCCAGGUAACGCCUGGGGGGGAAACCCACGACCAGUGCAACAGAGAGCAAACCGCCGAUGGCCCGCGCAAGCGAGAUCAGGUAAGGGUGAAAGGGUGCGGUAAGAGCGCACCGCGCGGCUGGUAACAGUCCGUGGCACGGUAAACUCCACCCGGAGCAAGGCCAAAUAGGGGUUCAUAAGGUACGGCCCGUACUGAACCCGGGUAGGCUGCUUGAGCCAGUGAGCGAUUGCUGGCCUAGAUGAAUGACUGUCCACGACAGAACCCGGCUUA